rnacentral:lncRNA from 1 species
GCUUGCGCUGUGGGGCUGCCCGGGCUGCGCGGCGUCUGCAGGCGCCACCGCUGCCUCUUUCCGGCUGUGACCCUCCUCGCCGCCGCCGCUUGGCUGCGUCCUCCGACUCCCCGCGCCGCCGAGACCAGGCUCCCGCUCCGGUUGCGGCCGCACCGCCCUCCGCGGCCGCCCCCUGGGGAUCCAGCGAGCGCGGUCGUCCUUGGUGGAAGGAACCAUGAACUGGCAUCUCCCCCUCUUCCUCUUGGCCUCUGUGACGCUGCCUUCCAUCUGCUCCCACUUCAAUCCUCUGUCUCUCGAGGAACUAGGCUCCAACACGGGGAUCCAGGUUUUCAAUCAGAUUGUGAAGUCGAGGCCUCAUGACAACAUCGUGAUCUCUCCCCAUGGGAUUGCGUCGGUCCUGGGGAUGCUUCAGCUGGGGGCGGACGGCAGGACCAAGAAGCAGCUCGCCAUGGUGAUGAGAUACGGCGUAAAUGGUGCGUGUGCACAAUUGCUCACUGGCGGAGCCUUUGCCUGAGAGUCUUGUGACAGGAGGGUUUAUGGCUUGGUUUUUGCUGACAACCCCA